GUCAGGGCGGGCCUGGGCCGG
rnacentral:miRNA from 1 species